rnacentral:snoRNA from 1 species
AAGACUCUACUUUCAGGGAUCAUUUCUUUAGUCUGGAACUAGAGGAUUGUGUUUCUACAGAGGCUGGUCUGGCUGUCCAUGAUGAUGAAUGAAGAUGUUUCCUUCAGAGCAGGAAGCUGGUGAGAAGAUGAGAAUCUUCUUCACUGAUGAAGACUGUUCAGUGUUUCUGGAUGUGACACUGAAGGAGGAAACAUUGUCUGAGUGGA